rnacentral:lncRNA from 1 species
UAAAACCGUAUUAAUAUUUUUAAAACCCACAAAUCAUGCAAUCAGAUUCAGACUAACCCUCAAAUUAGAAUCAGAUUAAUGAAAAAAUUAUUUAUACAAAAGAAAAGAAAGAAAGAAAAAAACAACUGACCCGUGAAUAAGUUCGAAAACCGAAUUGACCUAAUUAAUGUGUCAUCCGUUAAACCCGUGAUUGACCGAGCCUGGGUGGAUCAAUCUGAUUGACACCUACUAGUAGUUGUUGCUGAUAAGGAUGGACCAAUUCG